GGUAGUGGGAGCAUGCUUCGGUUGGAAGAAUUUGAGAUGUGAGUACACUUUCUCCAAAGAUGAAUGCAGUGAUCUGGCUGGUGACAUCAUGUACCUGGCAGCAAAAUUCAUCCCCUAGAAAAGAGUGGGUCAAGCCUUGUUGGAAGAGGGGAAUGUCCAUGCAGCCAUGGCCAAAACAGAAGACUGCAGGAAGACCUUGAAAGCUGUAAAGAAUGCUUUAGAGAGUAAUUGGGAAACAUUUGACCUGGCAAACACAUGGUCUUGGGCCUGCUGUUAUAAAAGGAACUUUUUCAUUAAUAGAUGCAUGUCUUGAAGAGAAAACGAGAGCACUGAAAUCAAAAGACUCCACAGAUAAGUAAGGUUUCCCCCACUUUAUUUUUAUAUUUUCAUUGUUUUAAAUUAUUGUUUUUUUUUGUUGUUGUUGUUGAUGUUGAUGUACAUUGUUUAGCAGUACAAGAAAAUAAACAAAGACAUGAUUUAUUUUGAUCUGCUUACAGUUAU